rnacentral:rRNA from 1 species
UAGGGAAUCUUCCGCAAUGGACGAAAGUCUGACGGAGCAACGCCGCGUGAGUGAAGAAGGAUUUCGGUUCGUAAAACUCUGUUGUUAGGGAAGAAAAAAUGUAUAGUAACUAUAUACAAACGAGACGGUACCUAACCAGAAAGCCACGGCUAACUACGUGCCAGAAGCCGCGGUAAUACGUAGGUGGCAAGCGUUGUCCGGAAUUAUUGGGCGUAAAGCGCGCGCAGGUGGUUUAGAAAGUCUGAUGUGAAAGCCCACGGCUCAACCGUGGAGGGUCAUUGGAAACUAAUAAACUUGAGUGCAGGAGAGAAAAGUGGAAUUCCUAGUGUAGCGGUGAAAUGCGUAGAGAUUAGGAGGAACACCGGUGGCGAAAGCGGCUUUUUGGCCUGCAACUGACACUGAGGCGCGAAAGCGUGGGGAGCAAACAGG